UACGUAGGGUGCGAGCGUUUAAUCGGAAUUACUGGGCGUAAAGCGUGCGCAGGCGGUUUUGUAAGCCAGAUGUGAAAUCCCCGGGCUUAACCUGGGAAUGGCAUUUGGGACUGCAAGGCUUGAGUGCGGCAGAGGAGACUGGAAUUCCUGGUGUAGCAGUGAAAUGCGUAGAUAUCAGGAGGAAUACCGAUGGCGAAGGCGGCGGACCUGGUCCGAUACUGACGCUGAGGCGCGAAAGCGUGGGGAGCAAACAGG
rnacentral:rRNA from 1 species